rnacentral:lncRNA from 1 species
ACUGGACACCUGCAUCUGCGGGCAAGACUGAAAACAGGUGAGACAGAGAGGAAGGGCCAAAGCCGUGUGGGGGAGGGGUGGUCUGAGGCACCCGCGUCCCCUCGGAUGGGGCUGGUUUGCAGGUCAGCGCAUGGACAUUUUCCCAGAAAGCGACACAGACUAUGAAGUUUGAUGGUCUGGAAAACGGAGACCAACCGCGCUGACUACCUGGAAGCACUGAGACUCCGGACAGCGCCUCUCAGGGUCCAGGAAAGGCACCGCGAUCUGCUUCAGCACCAGGGCUCCGGACAGCUCCUAAGGCUCCCAGGGGGCGACCUCAUUUCAGAACCAGGACACUGGACAGCUUCACUGCUACAGGGAAGCCCUUGUACCCAGAUGGGGGAACAGAGUGCUCUGAAGUGCCUGACGCUUUGGGAGACUUGCCCCUCGUGUAGUGGAUUUUUCAGUGAAUUAUUUUCCAGAUAAGCAGAUGAGAAGAAACCACCCACAGAAAUCCGUAAUUCCUAACAGGUUUGGAAAUACAAAUAUCUGACUCUGAACCCAGGACUCUUAACUGUCUCACUACACUUUCCUGGGAGAUCAAUGAGAAAAUCAUGUUUGAAGCCCUUCCUUGAUCAGGAUUCUAUGGAGACUUUUCAAUAAAAGUUCUGGGGAAUUUUUUACUCCCCUACCUCACCAUCAGUUUCAUGAA